rnacentral:pre_miRNA from 1 species
AUGAGCCCCACAGGGUUGACCUGAGACCACAUGUGCCCUUUGCGUUCUUGCCGGGGCCGGAUCAACAUCUUCCCGGACUCCGUGUCGUGUGAGAUGUGUUCUCAGGUCGCCCCUGCCAGGCUUUC